ACGCUCGACACCUACUGGAGGCAGCAGUCGGGAAUAUUGCGCAAUGGAGGAAACUCUGACGCAGUGACGCCGCGUGCAGGAAGAAGGUUUUCGGAUUGUAAACUGCUUUAGACAGGGAAGAAGAAGUGACAGUACCUGUAGAAUAAGCUCCGGCUAACUACGUGCUAGCAGCCGCGGUAAUCUGAGCGGGCUGGCAAGGC
rnacentral:rRNA from 1 species